UAGAGAUCAUCAAACGGCUACAAAUAGUUCUCUUCGCUCUGGACUUUCGAGCCAAGAUCAAUCCCGAUCUCUUCUCCUAGUGACCAGUUAAGUCUACUAGCACAGAGCAUCUUGGCUAUCCCUGAUCUAACAAAAUUUUUCGAGUCCAGUCUACUACCUAGUUCUUAUAUUUUUUUCGUACCUUUUCAACUUACAAUUCCGACAGAAAGACCUGUCGCUCUUUUUAUUUAUUCUUUCUUUGAUUUUAUUGCGUUUUUGUUUCAACCUUUGGUUUUAUGUCAAUAUCUUCUCUGCCUAACGAAAAAUGUUUCUGUGGUUUUCUAUUGAAUUUCUUGCAUCAUAUUUUGAAUCAACAAUGCACGAGUAGUGAGGCGCUGUAUAAACUUUAAUUAUCAGUGGCCUAAUGCAAGGUGCAAAGAUAAAUUUUGGGCUCCGCUUUGCAGCCUUAACUAAACAUGUUUUGGUUGCCAGUAUCACCCAUAAAUUUCUAUCGAAUUUGGUUCUAACCCUGAAAGUGAGGAAUAAUCUUGUCAUUUUUAUGAUUAUUCUAAAUUACUUCUUCAAAUGAUAUGAAGAAAAUUGAAGCUUGACAAUGACCACACUUUCUAACAUAUAAACAACUAUGGUUUAGAUGUACAGCUAUUAGAAUUAGAAUUAGAAUGACACAAUCCCUGCUAUCUUGAAUAAAAUUUUAUUAUUUGAUAAUGCAAAGGAAUAUAUCAACUCCCCCAUGAACAUUUUUUUUUUAUUUUGUUGCUUCUCUUAAAUGAAGUAACCUGAAUUUUACCUUAGUUCUUAGUGUAAACUAUAGGGCUUGUUUUAUUGUUGUAUGUUAACUGUAUAGACGAUUUUCUUUUCUUCUUUUAAAGUAGAUUGUUUAUGGAAUGCUUUCAACGUAGAUGGUGCCGCACUGCUGCUUGCUACAUACUCUCCUUCUCUUCAAAGAGAAAAUCCUGAUCUUUAGAAUAUAUGAUCUAUUAAUUCCAUCUUGAAUAUAAAGGGUGAUUGCUGAACUCGAAGGCCCUGCUAGUACUGUGCUUUAAGGUUAUUAUAGGCCACCCUUGAUGAAUCUUUGUAAAAGCUUGCUGGAGAUUUGGUACUGUUCUGAAACUAAGGCCACCCUUAAUGAAUCUUUGUAAAAGCUUGCUGGAGAUCUGGUGAGGCUCUUGCUAAGAUGUGGUAGCAGAUUUGAUCGUGCAUCAAGUGAUUCAUUGUGUCCUAGAUUUUUGGGUUGCUUUCUUUUUGGUUCUAGUCAACAAAGGCAGUCAUUGAAUAAAAGGUAGAUGUACAAACAUAGUGAAUGUCCAUCCUAACAAGGUUCCCCCUCCAAAAAAAAAAGCCAAAAAAAAAAUCAGCUCCUCAUUUGAGGAGCAGAGUGCCCUUGUCAAUUCUGUUAAGAAUAUUUUAGAAAACCAUGCUAGCUACAUGAUGUCUAGGAAGGAGCUUUGAGAGCUUGUUGCAUUUGUCAAAGGAGGUCAGUUUGAUUUAGUGGAGUAUCUUCACCUUGAAGUAUAUGAGAGUGCGCGGCUUGAGAAUUUUGCAUGAGGAAUUGAACUAAUCAGCUAAAAGGUUUACUUUAGGUCGUAGUGAAUUAAUAAUAACAUUGUUUGUAGUGACUCGAUGAUGCUAUUCUCUUUUUUUUUCAACACCCUCUUUUAUGAGAAUGUUGCGUAAAAACUCAUGCAUUGGUGUUGCUUUCUUUGGUUCUUAUUUGCUCAAGCCCAUUGGUUUCGUACUUCAUUGUGAAA